CUUUUGAUGGCGACCGGCGCACGGGUGAGUAACACGUAUCCAACCUGCCUCAUACUCGGGGAUAGCCUUUCGAAAGAAAGAUUAAUACCCGAUGUUAUAGUCCUACCGCAUGAUGGGAUUAUUAAAGAAUUUCGGUAUGGGAUGGGGAUGCGCUCCAUUAGUUAGUUGGCGGGGUAACGGCCCACCAAGACAACGAUGGAUAGGGGUUCUGAGAGGAAGGUCCCCCACAUUGGAACUGAGACACGGUCCAAACUCCUACGGGAGGCAGCAG
rnacentral:rRNA from 1 species